rnacentral:rRNA from 1 species
AGCGGUGGACAUGUGGUUUAUUCGAUGCACGCGAAGAACCUUACCUACUCUUGACAUCCAGCGAAUCCUUUAGAGAUAGAGGAGUGCCUUCGGGAACGCUGAGACAGGUGCUGCAUGGCUGUCGUCAGCUCGUGUUGUGAAAUGUUGGGUUAAGUCCCGCAACGAGCGCAACCCUUAUCCUUUGUUGCCAGCGCGUCAUGGCGGGAACUCAAAGGAGACUGCCGGUGAUAAACCGGAGGAAGGUGGGGAUGACGUCAAGUCAUCAUGGCCCUUACGAGUAGGGCUACACACGUGCUACAAUGGCAGAUACAAAGAGAAGCGACCUCGCGAGAGCAAGCGGAACUCAUAAAGUCUGUCGUAGUCCGGAUUGGAGUCUGCAACUCGACUCCAUGAAGUCGGAAUCGCUAGUAAUCGUAGAUCAGAAUGCUACGGUGAAUACGUUCCCGGGCCUUGUACACACCGCCCGU